UACGUAGGGUGCGAGCGUUGUCCGGAAUUAUUGGGCGUAAAGGGCUCGUAGGCGGUUUGUCGCGUCGGGAGUGAAAUCCACUGGCUUAACUGGUGGCUUGCUUUCGAUACGGGCAGACUGGAGGUAUGCAGGGGAGAACGGAAUUCCUGGUGUAGCGGUGAAAUGCGCAGAUAUCAGGAGGAACACCGGUGGCGAAGGCGGUUCCCUGGGCAUGUCCGUGACGCUGAGGAGCGAAAGUGUGGGGAGCGAACAGG
rnacentral:rRNA from 1 species